CCGAUGAUGACUUGCAUACCCCGCACAAGUUAGAGCCAAGUUCAGUGCACAAUUGCGCCCCCGCGAAGAUGUUCCCUUUCGGCUACACCAUCUCGGACACGCAGCGAUCCGCGCUCGAGGAGGCCUACAACCGAAAGAAGGAGUACCUCAACGCGCGUGUCGCCCCGCUCUACGCAUCGACCAAUCCGGCGUCGCUCUGGAACGCGAUUGUGAAGUACCGCCUCGUGAUUGAGAGCGAGGGUGUCGCAGCUGCGGACACGUACGAUGACCUGUUGUUGACGUACGAGGGUUACCGUAGCAUGGUUUAUGACGUGCUCUUCCACGUCACGCCCGACGAGGACGCAGCCGCUGAUGCGCAGGUGCGGGACUGGCGUCGAAGCGUCUACUUCCACCAUCCUUUUCUUUCGCCGGCCACGUUUCUGGCCUUUGCGCGCUCGUCGCAGGGCGCCGUGCCAGCGGCUCCCUUGUACGCCUUCGCCGCCAAGCGGUUGCUGCUGUUUCGCAUUCGAGUCGAGCUGGAGCUGGAUGCCUCAGCACCGCCGCCAAUCUUCGUGGACCGUGCACAGCGUGCCAUCGGCGGUCGUCUCCCGUGCCCGCCAAGUGCGUCGUCGCCGCUAUCAAAUGGGCUAACGCAGGAGGACAUUGAAAUGUUCAUCUCGGACCUCGUCCCCAACCUGCGUCUCGUGCGGGACAUGCCGCCUUGGAUGCUGCCGUACUACCUGUGUCACGCCUCUCGCAAGUUCAUGUUCAUGUGCGACACACGUGGCGUGGGGGCAAUUCCCAUUGACGCUUUCAUGAAGAGUGAGGUGUUCUCGGAGCUGCUGCGCAUGUUCGAGAGCGAUACGCAGGAUGCCAUCAUCGCAUAUCCGAAAGGCUGCGUCGUGGAAGUGCCGGCUAAGUUUGCCUCGCCGGCCGCGGAAGCCGACGAUACCGUCGCGGCUCUUGUGCUAUCCUACGAGGGUGACGGCAACGCGCUGUCAGACGUCUAUCAGCUGCAGUUGCUGAAUGACGAGGUGAAGAUUCAGGUGCCGCGGGAGCAGAUCUACUGGAGCACCGCCUCGAUGGACUACGUGCCGGCGGACCUGCUCAGCAUGGACAAUUGGUUCUCACUAGCACUGAUGAGCCGCAUCUACGAGCACUUUACCGCCCUCGACGCCGACGGCGACGGCGUUCUGACUCGCGAGGAACUGUCGCACUACAGCAACGACAGCUUCACGCAGCUCUCCAUUCAGCGCGUGUUUGAGUGUCACGUGAAUCACAGCGGCGCCCGCCAUAUCAUGGACUACAAGACGUACCUGAACUUUGUGAUUGCCACAGAGCACGCUGCGACCCGGCCGGCGAUGCGGUACAUUUGGGCGCUGCUAGACCUCGACGGCACUAAAACUCACAUCAAGAUCGCGACGCUGCACUGCUUCUGCAAGGAGAUCGCGAGCGAGCUGCUCGCCAACGGUCUUAUGGUGGACAUCUCGGCGCAGUCGAUACUGUCCGAAAUCGUGGACAUGAUCAAUCCCGCCUGGCAUGAAUGGGUGACGUUUGAGGACAUCGAGAGGUCCGGCCAGCAGGCCACCGUUCUCCCUGUUCUUCUGAGUUACCGCAACUUUUACGCCUACGACUGCCGCGAGCAGACGGCGGCGUCCGCGAAUGACGAAUACGCGGACAUUCCCGAGAAGUAACAUAGAGAGGCGGUGCCCCGAGAGAGUCCGCGCCUGCGUGAGCGCCAGCAGGUAGAGUGAGUUGCCCCUCCCCUCACCGCACGGGAGCACACAUCCCCCUUACUGCUGUUGCCGCUCGUAUCGGGUGUGGUGUAGAUCACGCAUGCAGCUUUCUUCUUUUUUUCUCCGUGUUCCACUCUCGUAUGAGAGCCACUGCAGUGCGCGCGUGUCUUGGUGUCCACACUCGUACUCUUUUGCUUUCAUGUUCACCGUGGAUAGAUCUGGCUGCGCCUCUCGUGGCGCCUUUCAUACCAGCCGCACAC
rnacentral:misc_RNA from 1 species